GACGAACGCUGGCGGCGUGCCUAAUACAUGCAAGUAGAACGCAGUUGCGAACGGGAGAGUAACGCGUAGGUAACUGCCUAUUAGAGGGGGAUAACUACUUGAAACGCAAGCUAAUACCGCAUACUAGUUGAUGGACCUGCGUUGUAUUAGCUAGUAGGUAGGGUAAUGGCCUACCUAGGCAAAGAUGCAUAGCCGAACUGGUAGGGGGGUCGGACAAACUGGGAACGAGACACGGCCCAGACGCCCACGGGAGGACGCAGUAAGGAAUCUUCGGGAAUUGGGGGAACGCUGACCGAGCAACGGCGCGUGGAGGAAGAAGGUUUUCGGAUCGUAAAGCUCUGUUGUUAAGGGAGCGGUACUUAACCAGAAAGGGACGGCUAACUACGUGCCAGCAGCCGCGGUAAUUC
rnacentral:rRNA from 1 species